UACGGAGGGGGCUAGCGUUGUUCGGAAUUACUGGGCGUAAAGCGCGCGUAGGCGGACCUGCAAGUCGGGGGUGAAAGCCCGAGGCUCAACCUCGGAACUGCCUUCGAUACUGCGGGUCUCGAGUCCGGGAGAGGUGAGUGGAAUUCCUGGUGUAGCGGUGAAAUGCGCAGAUAUCGGGAAGAACACCCGUGGCGAAGGCGGUUCUCUGGGACGGUACUGACGCUGAGACGCGAAAGCGUGGGGAGCGAACAGG
rnacentral:rRNA from 1 species